rnacentral:ncRNA from 2 species
UGAACCCACGCGGGAGAGAUCGAGCGGUCACCCGACCGACUCGACGCCGAAGGAGCAAAUCCUCCCCGGAACCUCUCAGGCAAAAGGACCGCGUGGGCGAG